rnacentral:rRNA from 1 species
UACAGAGGUCCCGAGCGUUGUUCGGAUUCACUGGGCGUAAAGGGUGCGUAGGUGGCCUGAAAAGUUUGAUGUGAAAGCUCAGGGCUUAACCCUGAAAUGGCAUUGAAUACUGUCGGGCUGGAGGUUUGGAGGGGGGACUGGAAUUCUUGGUGUAGCAGUGAAAUGCGUAGAUAUCAGGAGGAACACCGGUGGCGAAGGCGGUUCUCUGGGCAUUACCUGACGCUGAGGAGCGAAAGUGUGGGGAGCGAACAGG